UCGAGCGAGUCUGCCUUGAAGAUCGGAGUGCUUGUACUCUGUGAAACAAGAUACAGGCUAGCGGCGGACGGGUGAGUAACACGUGGGUAACCUGCCCAAGAGAUCGGGAUAACACCUGGAAACAGAUGCUAAUACCGGAUAACAACAGAUGAUGCCUAUCAACUGUUUAAAAGAUGGUUCUGCUAUCACUCUUGGAUGGACCUGCGGUGCAUUAGCUAGUUGGUAGGGUAACGGCCUACCAAGGCGAUGAUGCAUAGCCGAGUUGAGAGACUGAUCGGCCACAUUGGGACUGAGACACGGCCCAAACUCCUACGGGAGGCAGCAGUAGGGAAUCUUCCACAAUGGACGCAAGUCUGAUGGAGCAACGCCGCGUGAGUGAAGAAGGGUUUCGGCUCGUAAAGCUCUGUUGUUGGUGAAGAAGGACAGGGGUAGUAACUGACCUUUGUUUGACGGUAAUCAAUUAGAAAGUCACGGCUAACUACGUGCCAGCAGCCGCGGUAAUACGUAGGUGGCAAGCGUUGUCCGGAUUUAUUGGGCGUAAAGCGAGUACAGGCGGCUCGAUAAGUCUGAUGUGAAAGCCUUCGGCUCAACCGGAGAAUUGCAUCAGAAACUGUCGAGCUUGAGUACAGAAGAGGAGAGUGGAACUCCAUGUGUAGCGGUGAAAUGCGUAGAUAUAUGGAAGAACACCGGUGGCGAAGGCGGCUCUCUGGUCUGUUACUGACGCUGAGGCUCGAAAGCAUGGGUAGCGAACAGGAUUAGAUACCCUGGUAGUCCAUGCCGUAAACGAUGAGUGCUAAGUGUUGGGAGGUUUCCGCCUCUCAGUGCUGCA
rnacentral:rRNA from 1 species